rnacentral:rRNA from 1 species
GAUGAACGCUGGCGGCGUGCCUAAUACAUGCAAGUCGAGCGAACAGACGAGGAGCUUGCUCCUCUGACGUUAGCGGCGGACGGGUGAGUAACACGUGGAUAACCUACCUAUAAGACUUGGAUAACUUCGGGAAACCGGAGCUAAUACCGGAUAAUAUAUUGAACCGCAUGGUUCAAUAGUAAAAGACGGUUUUGCUGUCACUUAUAGAUGGAUCCGCGCCGCAUUAGCUAGUUGGUAAGGUAACGGCUUACCAAGGCAACGAUGCGUAGCCGACCUGAGAGGGUGAUCGGCCACACUGGAACUGAGACAAGGUCCAGACUCCUACGGGAGGCAGCAGUAGGGAAUCUUCCGCAAUGGGCGAAAGCCUGACGGAGCAACGCCGCGUGAGUGAUGAAGGUCUUCGGAUCGUAAAACUCUGUUAUUAGGGAAGAACAAAUGUGUAAGUAACUAUGCACGUCUUGACGGUACCUAAUCAGAAAGCCACGGCUAACUACGUG